CCUACGGGAGGCAGCAGUGAGGAAUAUUGGUCAAUGGCCGUAAGGCUGAACCAGCCAAGUAGCGUGAGGGAAGACUGCUCUAUGGGUUGUAAACCUCUUUUAUGCGGGGAUAAAGGUGUCCACGUGUGGAUGUUUGCAGGUACUGUAUGAAUAAGGAUCGGCUAACUCCGUGCCAGCAGCCGCGGUAAUACGGAGGGUCCGGGCGUUAUCCGGAUUUAUUGGGUUUAAAGGGAGCAUAGAUCGGUUGUUAAGUGUGCCGUGAAAGUUUGUGGCUCAACCGUGAGAGUGCAACGCAUACUGGAGGCCUUGAGUGCACGGGAGGCAGGCGGAAUUCGUGGUGUAGCGGUGAAAUGCUUAGAUAUCACGAAGAACCCCGAUUGCGAAGGCAGCCUACCGAAGCGUGACUGACGCUGAAGCUCGAAAGCGCGGGUAUCGAACAGGAUUAGAUACCCCUGUAGUC
rnacentral:rRNA from 1 species